UCUCUCCUAGAUACACACAUCACCUAAAAUCUCACUUUUACCGUGCACUGCAAACGCCCUAACGCAGCAAGGGCUUCGUCUGCCUUCCAGGUUCGAAGACAUGAUGCCUCCUUGUGCCCUGCUUGGAGAUGCCCGCCUUGCUCUCCAGGUCGCUCUCAGUCUGCACAUCCAAACCGACAAGCACUAGGCGUAGGCGACUUCCCCAAUGGGUUCCAGCUCCAGAGCUCCUCCAACCUACACCAUCAGGAGAGGGGUCGAGGGAUCGGAGACCAAAUGGCUUCAGCAUCAGGCGUCCAGGCGACGUGGUAACCUCUGCUGGAUUUGGGACCCGGCAUGGACUCCAGCCAAGGCAAGUUCUCCUCUCGACCUGUCUGAGGAUACCUGGCUCACCCUCACUGUAAUGACUUCACUGGAGGACCAUGUGCAGCUAAAGAUUUUGUCUGUUGCAGUCUUUAGCUUUGGUGAGGUUGCAAAAGCAACUGCCAGUGGAAGCAAAGUUACUUGUUGCGAUAUCUCAUCCGAUGGCAAACUGCUUGCUACCGGUGGCCAUGAUAAAAAGGCUGUCUUGUGGUGGGCAGAGCACCUCCAGCCUAAAUCUUCUCUAGAAGAGCACUCGAUGCUGAUCACUGAUGUUAGAUUUAGCCCAAGCAUGCCACGGAUCCUUGCUACAUCCUCCUUUGACAGAACGCUGCGGGUUUGGGAUGCUGAUGAUGUAUGCUUCUCAUUAUUUUUCGUUCUUUUUUUCCUCUCAAAAUGCUAUUAUUGUCAUAUGGCAAUAGUGCAUUAGAAGACGUUCUGAGGCUCAAAAUGCAUCAUCUAACUAGAAGUAAUUGCAACGCCUAACUAACUGUGUAUGUGCAGACUGAGUAUUCACUCCGCACUUUCACAGGACAUCAAGCACCUAUCAUGUCACUUGAUUUCCAUCCUAAUAAACAGGAUGUGAUAUGCUCCUGUGAUAGUGAUGGGCAAGUGCAUAGCUGGAGGGCAAAUUAUGCUAACUGUCUGACCUGUGUUAAGGUGUCCAGGGGUGUUGCUGUUCAACUGAGAUUUCAACCUCUCAAGGGAAAAUAUCUAGCAACAGCCUCAGAGAAGGCUGUCUUCAUACUUGACGGGGAAACACAAAUGGCCAGUAGAAGCCCUUUACAGGGGCACUCUAAGACUAUUCAAUCAGUUUGUUGGGAUUCUUCUGGUGACUACCUGGCUUCUGUCAGUGAAGACUCAGUCAGAAUAUGGUCGUUUACUUCUGGGCAUGAUGGUGAAUUUGUGCACGAGUUGAAUAGCAGAGGGAAAAUGUUCCACUCAUGCGUUUUCCACCCAACCUGUCCAUCAUUACUAGUAAUUGGUUGC